rnacentral:rRNA from 1 species
AAGUCCCGCAAGGGAUAAGUAGAGUGGCAAACGGGUGAGUAACACGUGGGUGACCUGCCUUCGAGUGGGGGAUAACGUCCCGAAAGGGACGCUAAUACCGCAUAACAUCCUGCCUUUGAAGAGGUGGAGAUCAAAGCUGGGGAUCGCAAGACCUAGCGCUUGAAGAGGGGCCCGCGUCUGAUUAGCUAGUUGGUGGGGUAAUGGCUCACCAAGGCAACGAUCAGUAUCCGGCCUGAGAGGGCGGACGGACACACUGGGACUGAGACACGGCCCAGACUCCUACGGGAGGCAGCAGUGGGGAAUUGUUCGCAAUGGGCGCAAGCCUGACGACGCAACGCCGCGUGGAGGAUGAAGACCUUCGGG